CCUACGGGGUGCUGCAGUGGGGAAUAUUGGACAAUGGGCGAAAGCCUGAUCCAGCCAUGCCGCGUGUGUGAAGAAGGCCUUCGGGUUGUAAAGCACUUUCAGUGGGGAAGAAAGCCUUGGGGCUAAUACCCUCGAGGAAGGACAUCACCCACAGAAGAAGCACCGGCUAACUCCGUGCCAGCAGCCGCGGUAAUACGGAGGGUGCGAGCGUUAAUCGGAAUUACUGGGCGUAAAGCGCGCGUAGGCGGUCUGAUAAGCCGGUUGUGAAAGCCCCGGGCUCAACCUGGGAACGGCAUCCGGAACUGUCAGGCUAGAGUGCAGGAGAGGAAGGUAGAAUUCCCGGUGUAGCGGUGAAAUGCUUAGAGAUCGGGAGGAAUACCAGUGGCGAAGGCGGCCUUCUGGACUGACACUGACGCUGAGGUGCGAAAGCGUGGGUAGCAAACAGGAUUAGAUACCCCGGUAGUC
rnacentral:rRNA from 1 species